GGAGCGGUGGCGGAGCGGCCGAACGCGCCGGUCUUGAAAACCGGAGAUCGAGAGAUCCGAGGGUUCGAAUCCCUCCCGCUCCG
rnacentral:tRNA from 1 species